UUGGGCAGUGACUGCUGGGAAAAUAGGGGAACAGAAGGUGUUAAAUGAGACAUAGAUGCAAGCAGAGAAAACAACACCUAGGAAAAUUUAGUUUUCUGCAAAACUGGGCAGCUGUACAGCUCAACUGGAAAUGAGGAUUUUCGUUACCUUUCUAAGAAUCUAGAUUCUUUAGUUUUCCAUGGGCUUGCCAGGCUCUGCAGGUCAUGAGCUGGAAACCAAUGACUUAGGCAGUAGAAGAUACCUUUCCCUUCCUCAGGAGUCAACUCUGUGUAAAACAGACAUGUAACCCUGUGCCUCCAAAGAUGAUGCAAAAUAAUGCUUAUCCAGCAAAUGGCAUUAAGCAACGAAAAAGAUGGAAAAGACAAUGUCCUGGGCUUUUGAACUAGCUACAGAUUUUCAUGGUCAGAAACUGAAAAAUGCUGAGGUAUCUGUUUUGCCCCUCCAGACUUUAAGGGGGAAAAAAAAAAAAAAAAAAAAAAGAAGUAAGUAAUUCUAAGAUGCAUAUUGGCACAGCUUUAAAAUUCUAUUUCAAUUGAACAAAACAACUGAAUGUUAGCAAUUUUUAAAAAGGAAAGUCAACAUGGUAUUUUGUAAUUAUUAUCACUUUGCUGUCUUCAAGAAAUACCUGACUGAAUUACAAAGGCAUUUAAAAGAGAUCUGAGAACAUUGCAUAUCAGUGCUGCAUCCAGUCGCACUAACCUGUGAAGUGUGAAAAGUAAUUGCAUUAUUUUUGAUCUAUGUUUGUCAGCUGGGCACAGAGCAGUGUUUUCAUUGCUCCUUCUACCCCAGCAACAAAGCUUAGUCAUUGUCCCUGCUGAAAGGGACUUCUUCCUGGAAAAUGCAUUGUUUCAAUAGCUCCUGUAUGCAUGUUUUUGGUGUGUUGGUUUUUGUUUCUUUUCCUGGAAAGUCCUUUGCAUUUUCCUGGGGUCUGCUGCCUAGAAUAUGGUCCUCUUUUUUUUUUUUUUUUUUUUUUUUUUUUUUUUUUGACAUAUUUCAAUCCAAACUCACUGUGGCUUAACCUUGAAACUCAUGGGAAAUUCAAAGGCUUUUCAGUGGACUAAUGGAGAAAGUCACAACACAUACCGUCAUGUUAGUUUCCACUAGAUUAAAAAUUUCCCAAACACAAACAUUUGUCAGUAAUGGAUGUUUGGAUAAACAGUGUAAGAAAAGGAACACAAAUGAUCCUUUUCCUGUUUCCUUCUCAUAUGAUGUCUCUAGCUGUCUUCCUUUCUCUACCACAUAAUAAGGCAGAGAUCCGGGACUGGCUGUCUGAUCUGGAAAACACUUUAUGUUAAGAGUGCAUUCUCAUUUACAUCAAGGGAAGAACAUUGAUCAUCCUCGGGACUGGACUAUCAGGAUUUAGAAGAAUGCUGGACAAAAAGACUGUCCUCGGUAUAUUUUCUUUUGCCCUAAAAAGUUGUUUUUCCUUGCCCACAGACAAGCAGCCAACAGUAGGAAACCACAACUGAAGAUGGCUGUGAUAACAUUACUCUUGCUGGGUUAGGAAGAUCUUUAUUUUCCAUGCAAAACACAUAAUUAUUAGUUUAAUUAUAUAGCCUGUUUUCCAUGUUGCAUUUGCCAGAUCUGAUAUUGUUAAGAAUUUAAUAUUACUUUCACCAGUGGUGAAAAAAAAAAAUGUAGAGAAAAUUAAACAGUAUCGGUCUUUCUGCAUGUUAUCUAUCACAGGGUGACUGAGAGUUCCAGCCAUUAAUGUAAUACAAAUACAUUUGAAAUUUUACAGAA